AGGUCAUGGGAGUUCAGAAUCUUUUUGCUGAGCACAGUGAAGUCAUGGAGAAGCUGUAGAAAGAAAAAGAUCAAAUGCCAAAGUCAUAGAGGUCGGAGAAUGCCAAACUAAAAAAAAAAAAGAAGACUUACUACAAAGAGCCUGGAGAUACUGAGCUCACAAUCUCCUUCACUCGAUAGAUCUUACUCAUUGACCAGUUUGUGGUAAGAGAAUCAUUUGCAU
rnacentral:lncRNA from 1 species